rnacentral:rRNA from 1 species
CCUACGGGUGGCAGCAGUGGGGAAUAUUGGACAAUGGGGGAAACCCUGAUCCAGCGACGCCGCGUGAGUGAAGAAGUAUUUCGGUAUGUAAAGCUCUAUCAGCAGGGAAGAAAAGGAUGACGGUACCUGACUAAGAAGCCACGCCUAACUACGUGCCAGCAGCCGCGGUAAUACGUAGGGGGCAAGCGUUAUCCGGAUUUAGUGGGGGAAAAGGGAGCGUAGACGGCUACGCAAGUCUGGAGUGAAAGGCGGGGGCCCAACCCCCGGACUGCGUUGGAAACUGUAUAACUGGAGUGCAGGAGAGGUAAGUGGAAUUCCUAGUGUAGCGGUGAAAUGCGUAGAUAUUAGGAGGAACACCAGUGGCGAAGGCGGCUUACUGGACUGUAACUGACGUUGAGGCUCGAAAGCGUGGGGAGCAAACAGGAUUAGAUACCCCAGUAGUC